rnacentral:rRNA from 1 species
UACGGAGGGGCUAGCGUUGUUCGGAAUUACUGGGCGUAAAGCGCACGUAGGCGGCGACUCAAGUCAGAGGUGAAAGCCCGGGGCUCAACCCCGGAACUGCCUUUGAAACUAGGUUGCUAGAAUCUUGGAGAGGUCAGUGGAAUUCCGAGUGUAGAGGUGAAAUUCGUAGAUAUUCGGAAGAACACCAGUGGCGGAAGGCGACUGACUGGACAAGUAUUGACGCUGAGGUGCGAAAGCGUGGGGAGCAAACAGG